AAGUAGCGCAAAGGAUAUUGCGUUGGACUUCUAAUUUAAAAGUCGUGGGUUUGAAUCCCACCAGGAAUG